ACACGUGCGCCCUGCUCGUGGCCCCUACAGCACGUCCGUAUCAGUCGAAAGUAUGGAAGUCGUUUUACGGCUGAGCGGUGUUUUGCUCAUUGCUGGAGGAGGGCUAUCACAAUCAUACCGAAGCCUUUUGAAUUGCCAACGACUGAUGCCGCCCGCACUGACAUCCAUUAUCACUCCCUGCCGUUUUCCAUGUAGGUUAAAAUUUCUUGAGAGUUCUUACGUCAUUAUUUUAGGAUAUGAUCCCGAUGGGACGCCUUGCCAUGU